rnacentral:sRNA from 1 species
AUCUUGCUUUCCUUUAAUCUGGCAGUGACCGUGUGUCAGAACAAUCUUGAAUCAUGAAGCUACUAACCAGAGCCGGGUCCUUCUCGUGAUAUUCUAAUGGAGUUCCUGCUCAAUGUCACCACAGCACCAGAAUUUCGUCGUUGGGAAGUAGCUAACCUUCAGCCUCAGCUAAAGAUUGACAAAGCUGUGGCCUUUCAGAAUCCGCAGACUCGUAAGUACAUUUCCAGAUCACAUUUGAUUCUAAGAUACUGGGUUUUUUAGAAGGUCAAUUUAUAGAAGAAAAAAAAUUGCUGUCAAAAUUUUAUUUUUAUUUUUAUUUAUUUAUUUUUUUGAGACAGCGUCUCACUCUGUCACCCAGGCUGGAGUGCAGUGGCAUGAUCUUGGCUCACUGCAACCUCCGCCUCCCGGGUUCAAGCAAUUCUCCUGCCUCAGCCUCCUGAGCAGCUGGAAUUAUAGGUGUGCACCACCACACCUGGCUAAUUUUUUGUAUUUUUAGUAGAAACGGGGUUUUGCCAUGUUGGUCAGACUGGAGUUCAG